CUUGUUUUGCCAUGACAGAUUAAUAUUCUAAGUGUGUGACAUUAUGGAAAGGAUUUCUAAGGAGGUCGACCUUUCUGUUAAAGAGUAAGAUCCUUUUUUAAACAUAAAAACAUCCUCAAAAUUGCGUUUGCUUAACCCACCAGACUUCAUGUAAAUAAAGUAAUUUUAGCAUCGUAAAAAACCCACUUCAUUCAAAGUGGACA